rnacentral:rRNA from 1 species
AGCAGUAGCCGCGGUAAUACAGAGGAUGCAAGCGUUAUCCGGAAUGAUUGGGCGUAAAGCGUCCGUAGGUGGCUUUUCAAGUCAGAGGUGAAAGCCCGGGGCUCAACCCCGGAACUGCCUUUGAAACUAGAUGACUGGAAUCUUGGAGAGGUCAGUGGAAUUCCGAGUGUAGAGGUGAAAUUCGUAGAUAUUCGAAAGAACACCAACGGCGAAAGCACUUUGCUGAGCCGACACUGACAUUGAGAGACGAAAUCUAGGGGAGCAAAUGGGAUUAGAUACCCCCGUAGUCCCUGUCUCUUAUAC